rnacentral:tRNA from 1 species
GGCGCAGGUAGCUCAGGCUGGAAUAGCCGGUGCCGAAGUCAUCGAGCGCCACCUUGAAUCCGGCGCGGCGCAGGCGGGCCAGCGCCUGGUUCGAGACCGGGUCUUCGCCC